rnacentral:rRNA from 1 species
UACGAAGGGGGCUAGCGUUGUUCGGAAUCACUGGGCGUAAAGCGCACGCAGGCGGAUCGUUAAGUCAGGGGUGAAAUGCCGAGGCUCAACCUCGGAACUGCCUUUGAUACUGAUAGUCUCGAGUCCGGAAGAGGUGAGUGGAAUUCCGAGUGUAGAGGUGAAAUUCGUAGAUAUUCGGAGGAACACCAGUGGCGAAGGCGGCUCACUGGUCCGGUACUGACGCUGAGGUGCGAAAGCGUGGGGAGCAAACAGG